UACGUAGGGUGCGAGCGUUGUCCGGAAUUACUGGGCGUAAAGAGCUCGUAGGUGGUUUGUCGCGUUGUUCGUGAAAACCCCGUGGCUCAACCAUGUGGUCUGCAGUCGAUACGGGCAGGCUAGAAUUCGGUAGGGGAGACUGGAAUUCCUGGUGUAGCGGUGAAAUGCGCAGAUAUCAGGAGGAACACCGGUGGCGAAGGCGGGUCUCUGGGCCGAAUGAUUGACGCUGGAGGAGCGAAAGCGUGGGGAGCGAACAGG
rnacentral:rRNA from 1 species